rnacentral:lncRNA from 1 species
GCGCAGUUGCUGUGGUUGCGAGGGCGGGACUAGGGGAGGCUUUUGUGCAGGGGUGAGUCCCUCUUCCCUGUUCGCCGGAGCCAUCGCGGCCCGUUCCAGUCCCUUCUCUGUUCGUCGCUCUCCUUUCCUGCCCCAGUGGAUCUCUCAGGGCUUGGUGCCGAAAAGUAGUGGAGAAGAUGGAAUUUCCUCUGUGGAAUACUCCUCAUGAAGUCUAUCCAGUCACAUCUAGUUAAGACCAGCAGCACUCUCCUGUCCAAAUGGAUGACCCAUGUUACGACUAAGGAACAGAAGACCAAAUAACAAACUGCUCCUCAGAUCCAUUAUGGAGGCCUUCUUGGCUCAAUUCCUGAAUAUGAUAUAUCCUUAUAAUUUUGUUUUCUCUCCAAAAAAGAAUAUGCUGGCAAUGAAAGGAGUUCAUCUUGUCUAAGAGGAGGGACUGGAAAAAUAAUUUAUUUUGAGAUAGGGUCUCACUCUGUUGCCCAGGCUGGAGUGCAGUGGUGCAAUCUCGGCUCACUGCAACCUCUGUCUCCUGGGUUCAAGCGAUUCUUGUGCCUCAGCCUCCACAGUAGCUGGGACUACAGGCACGGGCCACCACGCCUGGCCAAUUUUUGUAUUUUUAGUAGAUACGGGGUUUCACCAUGUUGGCCCAGCUGGUCUCGAACUCCUGAUCUCAAGUGAUCCUCCCACCUUGGCCUCCCAAAGUGCUGGGAUUUGUUUUUAAUUUUUAAAAAUUAGCCAGGUUUUGCCAGGCGUGGUGGCUCUCACCUGUAAUCCCA